rnacentral:lncRNA from 1 species
CUCAUUCAUUUGUGUCAGUGAGGACUGAGGAAUGAUGAGAAUUAAAAUCAUGGCCCCAUUAAACUAAAGAAAUCAAAUCACCUCAUUCUUAAAGUCUUGAGAAGAUGAGAUAAACUUAAAAGCUUUCAACUGUGAAAGAACAGAAACAAAGCUCGCUGGAGAGAUGGGAUCUGAAUAGUCAAAUCAUUUUGAAUAGGCACUAUGUACUUGGGAACUUCUGCAUGAGCAAGUGAUUCUUGGAUAUUCCUGUAAAUCCAUUCUGAAUAUGGUAAGUAAUACUGAAGAAUAACUGUUUUCGAGUGCUUUAUCUGCACGUAUCAAAAAAAAAAAA